UGGGGAAUAUUGCACAAUGGGCGCAAGCCUGAUGCAGCCAUGCCGCGUGUGUGAAGAAGGCCUUCGGGUUGUAAAGCACUUUCAGCGGGGAGGAAGGCGAUAAGGUUAAUAACCUCAUCGAUUGACGUUACCCGCAGAAGAAGCACCGGCUAACUCCGUGCCAGCAGCCGCGGUAAUACGGAGGGUGCAAGCGUUAAUCGGAAUUACUGGGCGUAAAGCGCACGCAGGCGGUUGAUUGAGUCAGAUGUGAAAUCCCCGGGCUUAACCCGGGAACUGCAUUCGAAACUGGCAGGCUAGAGUCUUGUAGAGGGGGGUAGAAUUCCAGGUGUAGCGGUGAAAUGCGUAGAGAUCUGGAGGAAUACCGGUGGCGAAGGCGGCCCCCUGGACAAAGACUGACGCUCAGGUGCGAAAGCGUGGGGAGCAAACAGG
rnacentral:rRNA from 1 species